rnacentral:lncRNA from 1 species
GUGUGAUGUGCGCGCGCGCGCGUGCGCGCGCGAGACUCCACCUGCCUGUCGCGGCCCGCGGGCAGCGCUUCGGGGCUGCUGCGCGGCGGCCUUGACCACCUUGGUAUAGCAGAGGAGGAAACGGAAGCUCAGACAGCCCGCUGGGCCGCUCCGAGCUCCGGGCUGGCUGCCGCGCGCUCCCGGUCUGCUGUUCCGCGGAGGGCACAACAAAGGGCCCCCCGGGCAGCCCGCUCAGAGACCGACUACUGAAACCCUCGGGCCAGGUUCUCGUUUUUGCUUUGUUUGGUUUUGGUUUUCUGGCGUCCUUAAACUCUGAGAUUUCUCCCGAUUCCGGUUCGAGACCUCCCGGGUUAAGUAAGGUGUGGCAAACAUAAUCCUAGCACUUGGGAGGUGGGAGAAUGGAGAGUCAAAGUCAUCUGCAGACGAGCCUGGUCUACAUGAAAUCCUGUUUCCAGACACAUAUAUAAAUAAAGUCAUCUGCAGACUAGCCUGGUCUACAUGAAAUCCUGUUUCCAGACACAUAUAUAAAUAAAGUCAUCUGCAGACUAGCCUGGUCUACAUGAAAUCCUGUUUCCAGACACAUAUAUAAAUAAAGUCAUC